rnacentral:rRNA from 1 species
GACGUAGGGCGCAAGCGUUGCUCGGAAUCACUGGGCGUAAAGGGUGCGUAGGCGGGUCUUUUAAGUCAGGGGUGAAAUCCUGGAGCUCAACUCCAGAACUGCCUUUGAUACUGAGGAUCUUGAGUCCGGGAGAGGUGAGUGGAACUGCGAGUGUAGAGGUGAAAUUCGUAGAUAUUCGCAAGAACACCAGUGGCGAAGGCGGCUCACUGGCCCGGUACUGACGCUGAGGCACGAAAGCGUGGGGAGCAAACAGG